GGGACACGUGGUAUCCUGUCUGAAUAUGGGGGGACCAUCCUCCAAGGCUAAAUACUCCUGACUGACCGAUAGUGAACCAGUACCGUGAGGGAAAGGCGAAAAGAACCCCGGCGAGGGGAGUGAAAAAGAACCUGAAACCGUGUACGUACAAGCAGUGGGAGCCUCUUAAUGGGGUGACUGCGUACCUUUUGUAUAAUGGGUCAGCGACUUAUAUUCUGUAGCAAGGUUAACCGAAUAGGGGAGCCGAAGGGAAACCGAGUCUUAACUGGGCGUUAAGUUGCAGGGUAUAGACCCGAAACCCGGUGAUCUAGCCAUGGGCAGGUUGAAGGUUGGGUAACACUAACUGGAGGACCGAACCGACUAAUGUUGAAAAAUUAGCGGAUGACUUGUGGCUGGGGGUGAAAGGCCAAUCAAACCGGGAGAUAGCUGGUUCUCCCCGAAAGCUAUUUAGGUAGCGCCUCGUGAAUUCAUCUCCGGGGGUAGAGCACUGUUUCGGCAAGGGGGUCAUCCCGACUUACCAACCCGAUGCAAACUGCGAAUACCGGAGAAUGUUAUCACGGGAGACACACGGCGGGUGCUAACGUCCGUCGUGAAGAGGGAAACAACCCAGACCGCCAGCUAAGGUCCCAAAGUCAUGGUUAAGUGGGAAACGAUGUGGGAAGGCCCAGACAGCCAGGAUGUUGGCUUAGAAGCAGCCAUCAUUUAAAGAAAGCGUAAUAGCUCACUGGUCGAGUCGGCCUGCGCGGAAGAUGUAACGGGGCUAAACCAUGCACCGAAGCUGCGGCAGCGACACUAUGUGUUGUUGGGUAGGGGAGCGUUCUGUAAGCCUGUGAAGGUGGCCUGUGAGGGUUGCUGGAGGUAUCAGAAGUGCGAAUGCUGACAUAAGUAACGAUAAAGCGGGUGAAAAGCCCGCUCGCCGGAAGACCAAGGGUUCCUGUCCAACGUUAAUCGGGGCAGGGUGAGUCGACCCCUAAGGCGAGGCCGAAAGGCGUAGUCGAUGGGAAACAGGUUAAUAUUCCUGUACUUGGUGUUACUGCGAAGGGGGGACGGAGAAGGCUAUGUUGGCCGGGCGACGGUUGUCCCGGUUUAAGCGUGUAGGCUGGUUUUCCAGGCAAAUCCGGAAAACC
rnacentral:rRNA from 2 species